rnacentral:rRNA from 1 species
UACGAAGGGUGCAAGCGUUAGUCGGAAUUACUGGGCGUAAAGCGUGCGUAGGCGGUCUCUUAAGUCCAUUGUGAAAGCCCUGGGCUCAACCUGGGAACUGCAGUGGAUACUGAGAAGCUAGAGUGUGUCAGAGGAUGGUGGAAUUCCCGGUGUAGCGGUGAAAUGCGUAGAGAUCGGGAGGAACAUCAGUGGCGAAGGCGGCCAUCUGGGACAACACUGACGCUGAGGCACGAAAGCGUGGGGAGCAAACAGG